rnacentral:rRNA from 1 species
UACAGAGGGUGCAAGCGUUGUUCGGAAUUAUUGGGCGUAAAGCGCGUGUAGGCGGCUUUGCAAGUCGGGUGUGAAAGCCCUCGGCUCAACCGAGGAAGUGCGCCCGAAACUGCAGAGCUUGGGUACCGGAGAGGAUGGCGGAAUUCCCCAAGUAGAGGUGAAAUUCGUAGAUAUGGGGAGGAACACCGGUGGCGAAGGCGGCCAUCUGGACGGAUACUGACGCUGAGACGCGAAAGCGUGGGUAGCAAACAGG